rnacentral:rRNA from 1 species
GAUGAACGCUGGCGGCGUGCCUAAUACAUGCAAGUCGAGCGAACAGACGAGGAGCUUGCUCCUCUGACGUUAGCGGCGGACGGGUGAGUAACACGUGGAUAACCUACCUAUAAGACUGGGAUAACUUCGGGAAACCGGAGCUAAUACCGGAUAAUAUAUUGAACCUCAUUGUUCAAUAGUUAAAGACGGUUUUGCUGUCACUUAUAGAUGGAUACGCGCCGCAUUAGCUAGUUGGUAAGGUAACGGCUUACCAAGGCGAGGAUGCGUAGCCGCCCUGAAAGGGUGAUUGGCUAGCCGGUAAGUGAGGAUGGUCCCAGACUCCGACGGGAGGCAGCGGCCGGGACUCUUCCGGAAGGGGGCAAAGGGUGACGGAGCAAAGUGGGGGAAGGGCUGAUGGUGUUCGGACGGGAAAAUGCUGUUAGUCGUGAAGAACAAAUGUGUAAGUACCUAUGAUCGUCUUGACGGUACCGAAUCAGAAAGCCACGGCUAACUACGUG